ACAUUUAUUCAAAAGGAUACAACAAGUAGAUCCGACCAGACAAUCUGAUUGGUUAACUUGACAUUUAGAACGUGCUCAAAUCAGCAU